UACGUAGGGGGCAAGCGUUGUCCGGAGUUACUGGGCGUAAAGCGCACGCAGGCGGUCUGCUAAGUUUGGAGUGACAGUUGGGGGCUCAACUCCCAAAGUGCUCUGAAAACUGACAGACUUGAGGGCUUCAGAGGGACACGGAAUUCCGGGUGGAGUGGUGAAAUGCGUAGAGAUCGGGAAGAAGGCCGGUGGCGAAGGCGGCUCUCUGGAACGUUCCUGACACUGAGGCACGAAAGCGUGGGGAGCAAACAGG
rnacentral:rRNA from 1 species